CAAUAGCGUAUAUUAAAGUUGUUGCAGUUAAAAAGCUCGUAGUUGGAUUUCUGGCAGGAGCGACCGGUCACACACUCUGUGUGUGAACUUGCGUUGUCUCUGGCCAUCCUUGGGAAGAUCCUGUUUGGCAUUAAGUUGUCGGGCAGGGGAUACCCAUCGUUUACUGUGAAAAAAUUAGAGUGUUCAAAGCAGGCUUAUGCCGUUGAAUAUAUUAGCAUGGAAUAAUAAGAUAGGACUUCGGAACUAUUUUGUUGGUUUGCGUUACGAAGUAAUGAUUAAUAGGGACAGUUGGGGGUAUUCGUAUUUCGCUGUCAGAGGUGAAAUUCUUGGAUUUCCGAAAGACGAACUACUGCGAAAGCAUUUACCAAGGAUGUUUUCAUUA
rnacentral:rRNA from 1 species